rnacentral:lncRNA from 1 species
GUCGCAUUAUUAAAUGUUCAAAAAAUUCAGAUGGGUUGUUAAAAACUAUGUUUUAUAGUGAACCAUACAGUUUGGCAUUAACAUGUGGAAAAGAAAAUGAGUCUUUUGUCAUUGAAGCAUAUAUACAAUAUAAAAAGUCUCAAGGUAUAGAUGUGAUUGUUCAAUCAGUAGGUACUAUUCUAAGCAAGGACAGACCUGGAUUUGGGGCUA